UACGGAGGGGACUAGCGUUGUUCGGAAUUACUGGGCGUAAAGCGCACGUAGGCGGAUUUGUAAGUCAGGGGUGAAAUCCCGAGGCUUAACCUCGGAACUGCCUUUGAUACUGGUGAUCUGGAGAUCGGGAGAGGUUGGUGGAAUUCCGAGUGUAGAGGUGAAAUUCGUAGAUAUUCGGAGGAACACCAGAAGCGAAGGCGGCCAACUGGCCCGAUACUGACGCUGAGGCGCGAAAGCGUGGGGAGCGAACAGG
rnacentral:rRNA from 1 species